GACAGGGUGGCAAUGAGGCUCAGAUUAGGCUACAAAUACUUUAGUGAAGUCAUUGCUUCUCCUGGUGUGUGCUGUGCGCUGCACCAAGGGGACAGACUCUACGUCACUAUAUCAUAGAAAGCCCUCUCAUUGCUAAAUUUAGUCCACAAGGUCAGCAUGACACAGCCUCAUUGACCAUCUCUUAGACUCAGCCACUCUCAGGGAUAUACUCAGGGAAUAUCCUCAGUUUGCCCCAACACUGUAGAAUGUUUAGGCAAAAAGGUGUGCAAUAUGUGUAUUUAUUUAUUGAAAUAUUAAUGUACUCUUGUGUGUACUGUCCAGUGUUAGAUUUUUGAUACUUUAACUUGGCCCAGGGGGUGGGUGGCAAGGCCAAUCCUCCUCCUUUGUUGUAAUUAUUUAUUAAUUCAAUAAUAAAUGUAUCAAUCAAUCAUAGCUACGAUCGCUAAUGUCAUGACUUAUGUCUCGCUAACGAAAGUUUUAUAAAUACGGGCAGCAGAGUUCCUCAACCUAGGUUCCCCGGAACCCUAAGGUUCCACAAAAGGUCCCUAAGGGUUCCGCAAGAACAAAUGAGAUAAGCUAAUGCACUUUUGAAUUUUAAUUUAUUUUCAUAUAUGUAAUAUAACUAAACACGGAAAAUAUAUUAUUGGUUAUUUUAAUAUUAUAACAUAGACAUCAUCAUAUCUAAUUUAUUAUAAAAAAAUAUAUAAUCAUUGGUAAUAUAUUUAGUGAUGUAUGUAUGGCGCCUAGCUGUACGUCUGAUUAAUCUAUCAAGUCCAAGUGACUCAUUCAGUACAAGACGCAUACACAGUCUACACAAUCGUCUCUGUGGUUCCUGAGUGUACAGACCAUGGAUAAGGUAGUAAAUGAAUGUAUGGUGUGCCAAACCGCGUGGGAUAACAAACGUCAUCAGCCCGUGGUGCUACCUGCUUGUGGACAUAGUUUUUGCAGGCAUUGCCUCAUAAAGCUACGUGAUAUCAAGGAAACUGUUGAGUGCCCAAUAUGCAGAACACAAUUUUUUUUGUUAUUUUUUAAAUAGUUUAAAAAUAGAGAACUUGACAACCCAUAUCUCUCUAGUAUGGUUCUGCUAGCUUUGCACCUGCCAAUGGCCGCCUUGUAGAGAGGAUAGUACAUCUUUGAGUGCAAAAACAGUUGUCUUAAUGUCUUUGUUGAAACAAGUGAAAGCAACACAACAAGUCAAACAUUCCUCAAUCUAUUGAGGCUACAUAGAUGACAUAUUCAUCUGAGUUAAAAUAAUAGAAGAGCUUCAGAACCUGGAAGAAAUAUUCACCAUAUUUUCACAUAUGAUGAAUCAAAGGAGAGCUGUUUACCAUUUCUAGACGUGCUAUUUACCGCAUGCAACUCAGGAUUCUCCAUUUGUGUAUACCGCAGGGGAACUAACCUAAGACCAUGCCUCAACGGCAACAGCGAAUUCCCACAACACUACCUGCAGUCCACUAUCGCUGGGUAUUUCCGAGGUGCUCUUACCCACUGCUCAACCUAGGACUACACAGGAAAUUACAAGGGAUGAUAUGAACAAUGAAGUCAAUGACAACCAUCAUCGAAUGGCACUAUUUUACAAGAACCACAUGUUGAUGGAAUAGAAAACAGAUAAGGUCAUCAAGAGCAAAAUGAAAAAACAAAACAAAAAAACGUCACACCCAUAAACCCAGAGGAAACCAUCAAACUCAGCAUUAAAAAAAGAAAACAAAACAUAAUGAUCACUAUAGGAAGCUGACAUUAUCUACAAGUACAUAUGCACUGCUGAAGUUUGUGGACCUCAAUCUUACAUUGGGAUGAGGACAACUACACUAAAAAAAAUGCUAAAUCAUGUAAGAAUCAAUAUCGUCAAUGGAUUUUCAAGUCAGGGACCUGGAAAUCUGUGACCCCUUUGUCACUUAAAUAGAUCUAUCAGUUCCCCCUCUUAAUCUAGGUCUCUAUAAAAUGCAAAUUUAAGAAUAUUUGGCUUAUCGCCAAGACGGUCCGGAAUACAAGUAGGUUGUUGUACCAAUUGUUCUUUGUCAUAGAAACAAAGUUUAUCAGGAUGAAGGGAAAUCUUCAGAACUGACAGUAAACAAUGGGUCUCCAAGAUUGGAGAUGUUUGCAAAAGAAAAGCGAGUAGAAGUGUGCUUCAUUUCAGAAAUUAGAAGUAAACAGGUUUACUAUAGUCAAAGGAAAUAGGUGAGAAGUAUAUAGAAGAAUUUAGUUGGACAGUGACUUGGUAUUCAAUGGCAGAUGGUGGAAAAUCUGGGAGCUUCAAGAGCAUGGACAUGAGAGCAGGUCAAGUCGUAGUUCAGAGACGCAAUAUCUACCUAUGCAUUGAAACCAACAAUAGAAAAAGUAAGAGGAAUCAGAAAAGGAGUUACUAUCAGAUGUUUCAGAAAAGAAGAUGAUGUUUAGUAGAAGAGAGUUUGUGUCUUAAAAACUGAAAAUCAGAUAUAUGGAUGUAAGUAUAGCAAAUGCAAUUAAAUUAUGCAACAUCUUAACCAUUUUCUGGUCAGGCCUUCUGGGUACCUCUGCCUUUCUUUCUGCUACUGUCUUAUUCACUUUGUCAUUUUAUUCAUAUACAGAUGCUUGGUACUUUCCUUUUCACUCAGAAAAUUAUCUUUAUUUCCACCAUUCACAUUUAUCGGAUGCCCACAUCAUAUUUAAAAUAUGAAGAAACAAGAAGUAAAGAAAAUAUGGAUGUAUGAUAUUUUGCCAGUACGCUGUGUGUUGUUGUACCCAGCCAUAAAAGAGAUUAGAAAGGGCAGGAGGGUCAAAAGGAAACAGUUAAUGACCCAGGCCAGCCCAGGUCAGGUAAACAUCCUGUGAUGUUGUCGUUCUUAGAUGUUGUUGAUACUACACAUUUGAGAUUCACGUGAGCUUAUGCUUGAUUGGUGAACGGUACAUUUGAGGAGCGUGUUGUGUCGAACAAGACACGCCUCCAUAAAGUUUCUGAAAGAAAAUUGUAGAAGCAUGGGGGCAGAGAGAGAGACGAGAGAGGAAGCAGAGAGGACAACCGCGGCUCUGAGCGGGCUGCCCUCAGCUGCAUAGCUGAGGGCAGCAUGAACGUUUUGUAUUUCAUAUAAACAGUAAAUGGAACUAUAAGUUGCAAUGCAGUCUUUUGAGGUAAAUUAGAAUGGAGGAGGAAUCAUGAUAGGAGAUUUAGGUAUUAUAUUAGUAUGUGUUUAUGUGCAUGUACUUGGUUCAUAAUGACGUCGUUAUAUACUUGCAUUUCCAUUUAUG